rnacentral:rRNA from 1 species
UACGUAGGGUGCGAGCGUUAAUCGGAAUUACUGGGCGUAAAGCGUGCGCAGGCGGUUCGCCAAGUCAGGUGUGAAAUCCCCGGGCUUAACCUGGGAAUUGCGCUUGAAACUAGCGAGCUAGAGUACGGUAGAGGAGAGUGGAAUUCCCGGUGUAGCAGUGAAAUGCGUAGAUAUGUGGAGGAACACCGAUGGCGAAGGCAGCCCCCUGGGUUAACACUGACGCUCAUGCACGAAAGCGUGGGGAGCAAACAGG